rnacentral:rRNA from 1 species
UACGGGGGGGGCAAGCGUUUGUUCGGAAUUACUGGGCGUAAAGGGCUCGUAGGCGGCCAACUAAGUCGGACGUGAAAUCCCCAGGCUCAACCUGGGAACUGCGUCUGAUACUGGAUGGCUUGAAUCCGGGAGAGGGAUGCAGAAUUCCAGGUGUAGCGGUGAAAUGCGUAGAUAUCUGGAGGAAUACCGGUGGCGAAGGCGGCAUCCUGGACCGGCAUUGACGCUGAGGAGCGAAAGCCAGGGGAGCAAACGGG